UACGAGGGGGGCGAGCGUUGUUCGGAUUUACUGGGCGUAAAGGGCGCGUAGGCGGCAAAUUAAGUCAUCUGUGAAAUCUCCGAGCUUAACUCGGAACGGUCAGGUGAUACUGAUCUGCUAGAGUGCGGAAGGGGCAAUCGGAAUUCUUGGUGUAGCGGUGAAAUGCGUAGAUAUCAAGAGGAACACCUGAGGUGAAGACGGGUUGCUGGGCCGACACUGACGCUGACAGCGCGAAAGCCAGGGGAGCAAACGGG
rnacentral:rRNA from 1 species